AGCAUCCUACGGGGGGCAGCAGUGGGGAAUUUUGCGCAAUGGGGGAAACCCUGACGCAGCAACGCCGCGUGCGGGACGACGGCCCUCGGGUUGUAAACCGCUUUCAGUGGGGACGAUGGUGACGGUACCCACAGAAGAAGCUCCGGCUAACUACGUGCCAGCAGCCGCGGCAAUACGUAGGGAGCGAGCGUUAUCCGGAUUCAUUGUGCGUAAAGCGCGCGUAGGCGGCUGCCUAAGCGGAACCUC
rnacentral:rRNA from 1 species